AGAGUUUGAUCCUGGCUCAGGACGAACGCUGGCGGCGUGCUUAACACAUGCAAGUCAAGGGGGCCCGCAAGGGCAACCGGCGAACGGGUGCGUAACACGUGAGCAAUCUGCCGAUUUCUGGGGGAUAGCCGGCCCAACGGCCGGGUAAUACCGCAUACGCUCAGGUGGAGGAAUCUCUGGCUGAGGAAACCUUCGGGGGAGAUCGAGGAGCUCGCGGCCUAUCAGCUAGUUGGCGGGGUAAUGGCCCACCAAGGCACUGACGGGUAGCUGGUCUGAGAGGAUGGCCAGCCACAUUGGGACUGAGAGACGGCCCAGACUCCUACGGGAGGCAGCAGUGGGGAAUCUUGCGCAAUGGCCGCAAGGCUGACGCAGCGACGCCGCGUGUGGGAGGACGCCCUUCGGGGUGUAAACCACUGUUGCCCGGGACGAAUCCGCCUUUUCGAGGGCGUUGACGGUACCGGGUGAGGAAGCACCGGCUAACUCCGUGCCAGCAGCCGCGGUAAUACGGAGGGUGCGAGCGUUGUCCGGAAUCACUGGGCGUAAAGGGCGCGUAGGCGGCGCGAGAAGUCACUGGUGAAAGCCCGAGGCUCAACUUCGGGUCGGCCAGCGAUACUCUUGUGCUCGAGUGUGGUAGAGGCCAAUGGAAUUCCGGGUGUGGCGGUGGAAUGCGUAGAGAUCCGGAAGAACACCGGUGGCGAAGGCGGUUGGCUGGGCCACAACUGACGCUGAGGCGCGACAGCGUGGGGAGCAAACAGGAUUAGAUACCCUGGUAGUCCACGCCGUAAACGAUGGGCACUAGGUGCUUGGGGGAGCGACCCCUUGAGUGCCGGCGCUAACGCAUUAAGU
rnacentral:rRNA from 1 species